rnacentral:rRNA from 1 species
UACGUAGGCAGCAAGCGUUGUUCGGAAUUACUGGGCGUAAAGGGUGCGUAGGCGGUGCUCUAAGUUUGGUGUGAAAUCUCCCGGCUUAACUGGGAGGGUGCGCCGAAAACUGGAGCGCUUGAGUGCGGGAGAGGAAAGCGGAAUUCCUGGUGUAGCGGUGAAAUGCGUAGAGAUCAGGAGGAACACCUGCGGUGUAGACGGCUUUCUGGACCGUAACUGACGCUGAGGCACGAAAGCGUGGGUAGCAAACAGG